AAGUUUAAUUAAUAAUAUGAUUUAACAGAUUAGCAAACAAGACUUAUUGCUGUUUAGCAGCCUAUCAACUAUGCAAUCCUAUUCCCCAAAAGGGCAAAGUGAAAAAAAUCAGUGGAAAAAUAUAUUAUAACCUUACAAUAUCAUCUGGUGUUUUUUGCCAGUGUUUUAAAAAAUCAAUUACUAUUCCUCUACUUGCAGGAG